rnacentral:rRNA from 1 species
UCCAGACUCCUACGGGAGGCAGCAGUGGGGGAUAUUGCACAAUGGGGGAAACCCUGAUGCAGCGACGCCGCGUGGGUGAAGAAGUAUUUCGGUAUGUAAAGCCCUAUCAGCAGGGAAGAAAGAAGACGGUACCUGACUAAGAAGCCCCGGCUAACUACGUGCCAGCAGCCGCGGUAAUACGUAGGGGGCGAGCGUUAUCCGGAUUCACUGGGUGUAAAGGGAGCGUAGACGGCCGUGCAAGCCAGGAGUGAAAGCCCGGGGCCCAACCCCGGGACUGCUCUUGGAACUGUGCGGCUGGAGUGCGGGAGGGGCAGGCGGAAUUCCUGGUGUAGCGGUGAAAUGCGUAGAUAUCAGGAGGAACACCGGCGGCGAAGGCGGCCUGCUGGACCGCGACUGACGUUGAGGCUCGAAAGCGUGGGGAGCGAACAGGAUUAGAUACCCCGGUA